GCGAGAUAGGGCCCAGCGCCUCAGAUCUUCGUUGGCGGCCAUGGCUUCGGCUUCUCAGGGCGCUGACGACGGCAGUCGCAGGAGGCCCCGCCUGGCUGCAUCGUUGCGGAUCAGCCCCGAGCCCCGCCCCUGGCGACCGCUACCCACCCAGGCCCAAGGUGCCUGGGAGCCCGCGCCCGCGAUGGACCACGCGGAGGGCGGGCGGCCCCAGGUCUCGGUGUUGAGGGACAGUGGGCCUGGGGCAGGGGCCGGAGUUGGGGAACUGGGGGCAGCCCGGACAUGGGAAAACUUGGGAGAACAGAUGGGGAGGGGCCCGAGGGUCCCUGUGCCCCCAGCAGGGCUGAGCCUGCCGCUCAAAGACCCACCUGCCAGCCAGGCCGUGUCCUUGCUCACGGAGUACGCGGCCAGCCUGGGCAUCUUCCUGCUCUUCCGGGAGGACCAGCCACCAGAGACACCGCCAGAGCAGGACCUGGCCUGAGCUUGCGACCUUGGGGUGGACCCUGCUGUGAGCAGCGAUCUCCAAGGAUCACCAGUCACACCAGAUGCUCAACUGUGAAAGGGU
rnacentral:sRNA from 1 species